rnacentral:rRNA from 1 species
AACGAACGCUGGUGGCAUGCCUAACACAUGCAAGUCGAACGAAGCCUUCGGGCUUAGUGGCGCACGGGUGCGUAACGCGUGGGAAUCUGCCCUUGGGUUCGGAAUAACAGUUAGAAAUGACUGCUAAUACCGGAUGAUGUCUUCGGACCAAAGAUUUAUCGCCCAAGGAUGAGCCCGCGUAGGAUUAGGUAGUUGGUGGGGGUAAUGGCCCACCAAGCCGACGAUCCUUAGCUGGUCUGAGAGGAUGAUCAGCCACACUGGGACUGAGACACGGCCCAGACUCCUACGGGAGGCAGCAGUGGGGAAUACUGGACAAUGGGCGAAAGCCUGAUCCAGCAAUGCCGCGUGAGUGAUGAAGGCCUUAGGGUUGUAAGCUCUUUUACCAGGGAUGAGUAAUGACAGUACCUGGAGAAUAAGACUCCGGCUAACUCCGU